rnacentral:rRNA from 1 species
GAUGAACGCUGGCGGCGUGCUUAACACAUGCAAGUCGAGCGAAGCACCUUGACGGAUUUCUUCGGAUUGAAGCCUUGGUGACUGAGCGGCGGACGGGUGAGUAACGCGUGGGUAACCUGCCUCAUACAGGGGGAUAACAGUUGGAAACGGCUGCUAAUACCGCAUAAGCGCACAGUACCGCAUGGUACGGUGUGAAAAACUCCGGUGGUAUGAGAUGGACCCGCGUCUGAUUAGGUAGUUGGUGGGGUAACGGCCUACCAAGCCGACGAUCAGUAGCCGACCUGAGAGGGUGACCGGCCACAUUGGGACUGAGACACGGCCCAAACUCCUACGGGAGGCAGCAGUGGGGAAUAUUGCACAAUGGGGGAAACCCUGAUGCAGCGACGCCGCGUGAGCGAUGAAGUAUUUCGGUAUGUAAAGCUCUAUCAGCAGGGAGGAAAAUGACG